AUCACCGACGCUCCUCUUCAUCACAAGGUUAUGCUUUACGGUUUUUUGGUGAUCAUAGUUCAGAGGUUGCAAUUUCAGAGGUUGCGAUUUCAUCGCUCAGUCAGCAAUUCGCAAGACAUUGUAGAGAAAGAAGAUGCGAGAAAAAAAGGGGAAUAAAAAUGGAGGAUUAGAGAAUCAUGAGUCAUGUUUAGGAGCAGAAGAGGACAUGGGUUUGAAA